AACUUUCGUCACUGCAGCCAAUGCUUCGUCUAAUGGGAAUGGGCCUUCGGAAUCAGCAGAUGAUGACUUGCCAAGUGUGAUAACAUGUGCUAAUUACCUGAAGCUUCCUCCUUAUUCUACCAAGGAAAUUAUGUCCAACAAGCUACUCUAUGCAAUCAAUGGGUGGCAGGGAUCCUUUGAUUUAUCAUGAGUCUCA